rnacentral:sRNA from 1 species
GCGAUUGUUCCAAAAGGCGACGGAUGC